rnacentral:rRNA from 1 species
AGUGAGGAAUAUUGCACAAUGGAGGAAACUCUGAUGCAGCAACGCCGCGUGGAGGAUGACGCAUUUCGGUGUGUAAACUCCUUUUAUAUGUCAAGAAAAUGACGGUAGCAUAUGAAUAAGCACCGGCUAACUCCGUGCCAGCAGCCGCGGUAAUACGGAGGGUGCAAGCGUUAUUCGGAAUCACUGGGCGUAAAGGACGCGUAGGCGGGAAGCCAAGUCUGAUGUGAAAUCCUAUGGCUCAACCAUAGAACUGCAUUGGAAACUGGUUACCUAGAGUAUGGGAGGGGGAGAUGGAAUUAGUGGUGUAGGGGUAAAAUCCGUAGAUAUCACUAGGAAUACCGAAAGCGAAGGCGAUCUCCUGGAACAAUACUGACGCUAAGGCGUGAAAGCGUGGGGAGCAAACGGGAUUAGAUACCCCGGUAGUCCACGCCCUAAACGAUGUUCACUAGUCGUCGGAAUGCUAGUCAUUUCGGUGAUGCACUUAACAGAUUAAGUGAACCGCCUGGGGAGUACGGUCGCAAGAUUAAAACUCAAAGGAAUAGACGGGGACCCGCACAAGUGGUGGAGCAUGUGGUUUAAUUCGAAGAUACGCGAAGAACCUUACCUAGCCUUGACAUUGAAGAAACACACUAGAGAUAGAGUGGUGCCCUUCGGGGAAUCUGAAAACAGGUGCUGCACGGCUGUCGUCAGCUCGUGUCGUGAGAUGUUGGGUUAAGUCCCGCAACGAGCGCAACCCUCGUCCUUAGUUGCCAGCAGGUUAAGCUGGGCACUUUAAGGAGACUGCCUUCGCAAGAAGGAGGAAGGUGAGGACGACGUCAAGUCAUCAUGGCCCUUAUGGCUAGGGCUACACACGUGCUACAAUGGGGCGUACAGAGAGUUGCGAUACCGCGAGGUGGAGCCAAUCUCAUAAAGCGUCUCUCAGUUCGGAUUGAAGUCUGCAACUCGACUUCAUGAAGCUGGAAUCACUAGUAAUCGUAGAUCAGCAAUGCUACGGUGAAUACGU